rnacentral:misc_RNA from 1 species
GGAAGUAAAAGUGUAACAAGGUCUCCGUAGGUGAACCGGCGGAGGGAUCAUUACAGAGUUCUCGCCCUCGCGGGUAGAUCUCCCACCCACUGUUAUCGUUACUGUGUUGCUUUGGCGGGCCGCCGGGCCCCGCUCGGCCGCCGGCUCCGGCUGGCGCGCGUCCGCCAGAGGCCCAGCAAACUCUGAAUGUUAGUGUCGUCUGAGUACUAUAUAAUAGUUAAAACUUUCAACAACGGAUCUCUUGGUUCUG